UACGGGGGGAGCAAGCGUUGUUCGGAUUUACUGGGCGUAAAGGGCGCGUAGGCGGUCAGCACAAGUCAGUUGUGAAAUCUCCGGGCUUAACUCGGAAAGGUCAACUGAUACUGUGCGACUAGAGUGCGGAAGGGGCAACUGGAAUUCUCGGUGUAGCGGUGAAAUGCGUAGAUAUGGCACAGAACACCGAUAGUGAAGACAGCUCACGAGGGCGUUAUUGACGCUGAGGCACGAAAGCGUGGGGAUCGAACAGG
rnacentral:rRNA from 1 species